UCUCUCUUGAGUGGAUCCUGAGUACGACGGAGCACGUGAAAUUCCGUCGGAAUCUGGGAGGACCAUCUCCUAAGGCUAAAUACUCUCUAGUGACCGAUAGUGAACCAGUACCGUGAGGGAAAGGUGAAAAGUACCCCGGAAGGGGAGUGAAAGAGAACUUGAAACCGUGUGCUUACAAGUAGUCAGAGCCCGUUAAUGGGUGAUGGCGUGCCUUUUGUAGAAUGAACCGGCGAGUUACGAUCUGAUGCAAGGUUAAGCAGCAAAUGUGGAGCCGCAGCGAAAGCGAGUCUGAAUAGGGCGUUGAGUAUUUGGUCGUAGACCCGAAACCAGGUGAUCUACCCUUGGUCAGGUUGAAGUUCAGGUAACACUGAAUGGAGGACCGAACCGACUUACGUUGAAAAGUGAGCGGAUGAACUGAGGGUAGCGGAGAAAUUCCAAUCGAACUUGGAGAUAGCUGGUUCUCUCCGAAAUAGCUUUAGGGCUAGCCUCAAGUGAUGAUUAUUGGAGGUAGAGCACUGUUUGGACGAGGGGCCCCUCUCGGGUUACCGAAUUCAGACAAACUCCGAAUGCCAAUUAAUUUAACUUGGGAGUCAGAACAUGGGUGAUAAGGUCCGUGUUCGAAAGGGAAACAGCCCAGACCACCAGCUAAGGUCCCAAAAUAUAUGUUAAGUGGAAAAGGAUGUGGCGUUGCCCAGACAACUAGGAUGUUGGCUUAGAAGCAGCCAUCAUUUAAAGAGUGCGUAAUAGCUCACUAGUCGAGUGACACUGCGCCGAAAAUGUACCGGGGCUAAACAUAUUACCGAAGCUGUGGAUUGUCCUUUGGACAAUGGUAGGAGAGCGUUCUAAGGGCGUCGAAGCAUGAUCGCAAGGACAUGUGGAGCGCUUAGAAGUGAGAAUGCCGGUGUGAGUAGCGAAAGACGGGUGAGAAUCCCGUCCACCGAUUGACUAAGGUUUCCAGAGGAAGGCUCGUCCGCUCUGGGUUAGUCGGGUCCUAAGCUGAGGCCGACAGGCGUAGGCGAUGGAUAACAGGUUGAUAUUCCUGUACCACCUAUAAUCGUUUUAAUCGAUGGGGGGACGCAGUAGGAUAGGCGAAGCGUGCGAUUGGAUUGCACGUCUAAGCAGUAAGGCUGAGUAUUAGGCAAAUCCGGUACUCGUUAAGGCUGAGCUGUGAUGGGGAGAAGACAUUGUGUCUUCGAGUCGUUGAUUUCACACUGCCGAGAAAAGCCUCUAGAUAGAAAAUAGGUGCCCGUACCGCAAACCGACACAGGUAGUCAAGAUGAGAAUUCUAAGGUGAGCGAGCGAACUCUCGUUAAGGAACUCGGCAAAAUGACCCCGUAACUUAGGGUUCACGCCCAGAAGAGCCGCAGUGAAUAGGCCCAAGCGACUGUUUAUCAAAAACACAGGUCUCUGCUAAACCGUAAGGUGAUGUAUAGGGGCUGACGCCUGCCCGGUGCUGGAAGGUUAAGAGGAGUGGUUAGCUUCUGCGAAGCUACGAAUCGAAGCCCCAGUAAACGGCGGCCGUAACUAUAACGGUCCUAAGGUAGCGAAAUUCCUUGUCGGGUAAGUUCCGACCCGCACGAAAGGCGUAACGAUUUGG
rnacentral:rRNA from 1 species